CUUACGGAGCGCGCUCUGAAAUAAGCGCUCAUAUUGUCAUAUUCCAACGGAUCGAGUUAGCUCAUCACACCGGCUCAGCUCGAAGAAAAUGUGCAGCUAUUUGUAAUUGAUGUUAUUCCUCUGUAGGGUUUAUUGAGGAUGUCUGUUUCUGGCUCAUGAACCCCGAGUUCUCUAGCAUGUUGGCCUCCAUGGAGUAGCUAGCUAACGUUAGCCAUCUUAAUUAACAUGAAGAUGUCAACAAGUGCUGUCAGGACGCAUACCAUCACUGUUGCUGUAUGCAGCCCGUUGCUGGUUGCUCAAGGGCAGAUGGAGAACGAAGAAUAGAUUGAUCCGUAUAGAACUACGAUCCAAUCAUAAAGUCCAUGAGAAAGCCUGACGAGUGUAUGAAACAAAAUCAUGAAGUGUGAAAAUACACCAAGCAUGACGAAUACUGCCUUUUAUCGUGAUAUUAAUCUAAUCGGAAAACUAAAGGAAAGUCAUCUUCACCGGCAAGUAAUUACCCUAAUGUACCCACCAAGAGGAGGGAAUACAUGCAGGGCUCAGAUCAAGUGGACGUAACCGAGUGCAACAACAAAGUCGAAGGGUUACAAAGAGAGGUGUCUGUGGUUGUCUUAAUCAUAGUGGUCAUCAUCUGCAACAAGCUGUGGUCUACAGUCUCCUUGUUUGUCCAGUUCAAGCAAAUCUUUGCCAUUGGUUUCUCAUCAGUCUGGUCUGGAAUUGGUUCUAUCUCUACAAGGCUAUCACUAUGGCCAUCACCACCUUCUUCAUAGAGCCUCUGAAGCACUUUGGCCAGGGGAUCAGCCAGUUCCUACAAGCCCUCCUCAAGGACAUUAGUGUUUAAAGGCACAGUCAACUUAUCUCGGCAAGCAGUGGCGGAGAUCCAGAAGGUUCUGGAGGGAAUGGACAGCUGGAGAACGGGGACUCUGAACGAUGUCCUCAGCCAGAUCCUGGUGAAUCUCAAACCACAUGACUACAAGGCCUGGAGAUGGCAAUUUGAGGACACCUUUGGUGUGGAGAUCGACACAUCCAUGACGUUUAGAAUGCGUAGUUUAUGUGGUUUGCCUAAGCAAUUUACUGUGGAAAUUUGCAGAGUCACCUUGCGGUCACCAGUCACCUUGCAGAUCCCUGUGCUCCUCACCAUCGUGCUCUCCAUCCUGGUCUUUGUGUACAGCAGCGCCCAGGCUGCCAUCCUGCACGGCAUAUCCAGACACCCUGAGGAACGCCGACAGGCGGUACAGCAAGGACGAGAUCAUCUCGGAGAGGUGGGAGCGUUUCCCCGACGGUGUGCGGCCGGAGGGUUGCUCCAACGCAAAGCAUAUCGACCCUCUAAUGGUAGAGGACCGACAUCCAGGAAGAGAUACAGAGGUCUGUCAAACCCUGUCUGCAGAAUGAGGUACCAAUGAAUGUCCCAAAAGAGUAAGGGUACAUUCUUGUAUGCCAUGGAUUAUAUGUGUACCUAGCAUAUUUUGUGAACAAAAAUCACACACAAAGUCACACACAAUGUAUAUAAACCUAUUACAACUGGAGCAGGCCAACCCUGAUGGGUGUGCACACUUCUGUUCCAGCCCAGCAUUAACACACCUGAUUCAAUGUAUCAAACCUAAUUAGUUAAUAAUCAAGUGUGCUAUUUCUGGGCUGGAACAGAAGUCGUAUCACCCAGUGGAUCAUAGGAGUUACUUUUUUUGUUCACCUGAAAUGAUGUUUUAUUAAUAAUAGCCUACUUGUUACUAAAAUGUCUAGCCUCUACAUAUGAGUUAGCUUACUUGUACACUUUGAAAUUAUGAGUUUUGAUGCUUUGACAGUGUUUUAAACUUGUUGUAAUUAACUGAACUAUUAUUCAAGAUGAACUAGUGUUGAUAUUGGUUUAUCACAGAUCACAACCCUGCAAUAAAAAGGGGAGUGUGUCUUCACUUGAAUGUUUCUGUGUUCUCAAAUGAACAUCACCUUUUUCUUUCCAAUUCGUUUUAUUUGUUUGUCACCAUUUUGUUUUCAGGAUAUCAGCCAUAUGUACCCAUUUUGCAGCUGAUAAUGGAAUCCAACGCAAAUGCAGCCAUAGGCCUACAGCAGUGGUUCCCAAUUCCAGUUCUCGAAUACCCCCAACAGCACACAUUUUUGUUGUAGCCCCAUACAAACAUAGCUGACUCAACUCAUUGAGGGCCUGAUGAUUAGUUGACAUGUUGAAUCUGGUGUGUUUGUCUGGGGCUACAAUAAAAAUGUACUCUUGGGGGAACUCGAGGACCGGGGUUGGGAACCACUGGCCUACAGCAUUAGCCUUAUGGGCAUUUGCAAUUCACCCUUUGACAUUGUGCAGCUGAAGCUUAACUCACACACUGUUUACAUAUUGUUCAGCUAUAUAUUCAGAAUUUAAAAAUUAUACCAGUAGACAAUGUAUAUGAGGCUAAUCAUUAAACUAGAUUUUGUACAUGCCUUGUGCUGACAUUUGUUUUGGUGCAAAUCCAACCCUUGUAAUCUAGGUGGAAGCAGGAAAUGAGUUCCUUAUUGUACACACACACCAAGUCCAGAAGGUCUAAGUGGCACUCUGUUAUAAUGAAUAUGUUUUUUUUACCUUUAUUUAACUAGGCAAGUCAGUUAAGAACAAAUACUUAUGUUCAAUGAUGGCCUAGGAACAGUGGGUUAACUGGGGGGCAGGGGCAGAAUGAC
ensembl:lncRNA